rnacentral:rRNA from 1 species
CUACGUGCCAGCAGCCGCGGUAAUACGUAGGGGGCAAGCGUUAUCCGGAUUUACUGGGUGUAAAGGGAGCGCAGGCGGUUUUGCAAGUUGAGAGUGGAAGCAGGGGGCUCAACCCCCUGACUGCUCCCAAAACUGUAGGACUUGAGUAUGGGAGAGGCAGGCGGAAUUCCUAGUGUAGCGGUGAAAUGCUUAGAUAUUAGGAAGAACACCGGUGGCGAAGGCGGCCUGCUGGACCAAAACUGACGCUGAGGCUCGAAAGCGUGGGUAGCAAACAGGAUUAGAUACCCUGGUAGUCCACGCUGUAAACGAUGAAUACUAGGUGCUGGGAGGCAUAAGCCUUUCGGUGCCGCCGCAAACGCAUUAAGUAUUCCACCUGGGGAGUACGCUCGCAAGAAUGAAACUCAAAGGAAUUGACGGGGACCCGCACAAGCGGUGGAGCAUGUGGUUUAAUUCGACGCAACGCGAAGAACCUUACCCGGUCUUGAGAUCC